GCUGUUGUUAUUCUAUACUUUCAUCUAGCAUAAUCCUCAUCACACAUCACCGUGAUGCCUAUUUAAUUUGUUAACUUUCCAGAAUGAGUGGAAGCUCUAUGAGGUCAGGGAGCAUGUCUGCCUUGGUGGCUACAUACUCACCCCAUGACCAAAGGCAAGUGGGACCUCUGGGCCUCAGUUUCCUCACCUCUCAGGGGUUUGAGCUAAAUAAUCCCUAAGCCCUCCUCAUAGUGGGUGCAGCUCUACAGCAAGGAGCAAGGCGUGGUGAGUAGGAGAUGAGCUGGAUGUCAGCACCCACUGGGCCCAGGCUCCAGGUAACCUGCACAACUGUAUUGGUUGGCUCUGGUUGGAUCAAUCACUCCAUCCAGAGAGCAGUGACCCACUUCUCCUGACCUCUGGCUCAGCUUCCAAGACACCAGGCUGCUUUUCUGCUCUACUACCAGCUACUCCCUCUAACUACAGCUGCUCCAUGAGGUAGAUAAGCCCCUGUGUCUCUAAUGGCACAGUGCCCCAUGCAACCCAAACACAGACCCCCAGGAGAGAGAAGCCAGGGAGGUCCUGUUUCUUCCAGGCCAUGACCUUUUAAAGUCCUUCAGCAUUAAUUCUCUGAGAUUUGUAAAAAUUAAGUCAAGGGAGGAAGCACAAAGUUGCUGCAAAGAGCUGGAUUCAGGGGAUAAUGUCUAAUAAUCAGUUUUCUCCAUAAUAAUUAUUGUAAAAACAACAUGUUAUUAACUUUGUGGUUACUCCCUUACUCUGACAACAACUCUUAAAGAAGGGUAUUAUCAUCCCUCUUUUAGAGCAGGAAAUGGAGUUUCAGAGACGUGAAUCAGUUAGCUCAAAGCCAUGCUGCUAGUGAAUGGCAGGGACAGGUUUUGAGUCUCCUGACUGCAAACACGGUACUCAACCCUCAUGGCCUGCACGGACCAGUCCUCCUUAAAGUUAGCUAAGUGGGCUGGGCAUGGUGGCUCAUGCCUGUAAUCCCAGCACUUUGGGAGGCCGAGGUAGGUGGAUCAUGAGGUCAGGAG
rnacentral:lncRNA from 10 species